rnacentral:rRNA from 1 species
UGAUCUGACGAGCUUGCUCUGAUUUGAUUUUAUCUGACAAAGAGUGGCGAACGGGUGAGUAACACGUGGGUAACCUACCUCUUAGCAGGGGAUAACAUUUGGAAACAAGUGCUAAUACCGUAUAAUACCAACAACCGCAUGGUUGUUGGUUGAAAGAUGGUUCUGCUAUCACUAAGAGAUGGACCCGCGGUGCAUUAGCUAGUUGGUAAGGUAACGGCUUACCAAGGCAAUGAUGCAUAGCCGAGUUGAGAGACUGAUCGGCCACAAUGGGACUGAGACACGGCCCAUACUCCUACGGGAGGCAGCAGUAGGGAAUCUUCCACAAUGGGCGCAAGCCUGAUGGAGCAACGCCGCGUGUGUGAUGAAGGGUUUCGGCUCGUAAAACACUGUUAUAAGAGAAGAACGGCACUGAGAGUAACUGUUCAGUGUGUGACGGUAUCUUACCAGAAAGGAACGGCUAAAUACGUGCCAGCAGCCGCGGUAAUACGUAUGUUCCAAGCGUUAUCCGGAUUUAUUGGGCGUAAAGCGAGCGCAGACGGUUAUUUAAGUCUGAAGUGAAAGCCCUCAGCUCAACUGAGGAAUGGCUUUGGAAACUGGAUGACUUGAGUGCAGUAGAGGAAAGUGGAACUCCAUGUGUAGCGGUGAAAUGCGUAGAUAUAUGGAAGAACACCAGUGGCGAAGGCGGCUUUCUGGACUGUAACUGACGUUGAGGCUCGAA